ACGUCGCGGCAGCUGAUAAAAUAUCAUAAUCAAAUAAUAUUUAAUACAUUUAGUUGUCGGGGGGGGGCCCCCGGGUAUUUCUGGUUUAGUUUUCAAACAGUUCAAACCUACGUUGGAUUUUCCCGGGCCCUGAACUACCUGCGGUGGUGGUUUCGUCUUUACUCACGGCCGUGGGCGAUGAGAUCAGUUUUUCCCGAGGUCGCGUUUUAAGAAUAUUAUAUAAUUCAUUCUCCCGUGACCCGGACGAUCUUCUCCUGUGGAAUAAUAUUGUCAUCGUCAGCGCCCGUUGGACGCGAUCGCGCGCGCGCACGUCACUCCUCCGUGGAACGCCGCCGCCGCCGCUGUGUACCCUCCACCUCCUUCGCCAUCGCAGUCGUCGUCGCCGUCGCACGCGCGCCGCGAUAUUACGUUGGACACUUGCCGCCGUACGACCGCCAGCGGCUGACGCCACUUCAGGACCGCCGGCUAGACGACGACGACGACGACGGUAGCUGCAAGCCGCUGCUCCGCCAACUCGCCGUUCCGAACAAGGGUAAAAUUGUGGAACAUGAUUUUAGUGGGGUAAUAUUCAUUACUUAUCUCUGUGUUGUUUGAAAAAAAACUAUGAGUGUUAUGAAUGACAACAAUGCCGAUCCAAAUGUGGUAUCAAAUAAUAAUAGUAGCAACAAUGCCACCACAAAUACCAAUAACAAUAACACAACCAACAACAACACCACCAAUAACAAUCCGGCGAACAAUAAUCAAACCAAACAGGUAACGAAAAGACCUGUUCGAAGACCUGGAAAACAGCUCCCUGACAGGCCACAAAGAGCGUUAUGCUGCCUAACUCUCAAAAAUCCUCUUCGGAAAUUAUGUAUUGGUGUAAUCGAAUGGAAACCAUUUGAAUAUUUAAUUUUAAUGACAAUUUUCGCUAAUUGCGUUGCUCUUGCAGUAUAUACACCAUAUCCAUGCAACGAUUCAAACACGGUGAAUGGCUAUUUAGAUAGAAUUGAACGAGUGUUUUUAGUUAUAUUCACUGUGGAAUGUAUAAUGAAGAUCAUAGCAUACGGGUUUGUUGCCCACCCAGGCGCAUAUUUAAGAAACGGCUGGAAUUUCUUGGAUUUCACGAUUGUUCUGAUGGGAUGCAUCAGUAUAAUCAACGGGUUCGAUGUAAAGGCGUUGCGUGCCUUUCGGGUCUUAAGACCACUGAGAUUAGUGUCAGGUGUACCAAGUUUGCAAGUCGUAUUAAAUUCAAUUUUACGAGCCAUGGUACCUUUAUUACACAUCGCGCUUUUAGUUAUAUUUGUUAUCAUCAUAUAUGCUAUCAUUGGAUUAGAGCUAUUCUCUGGGACUUUACAUACCACCUGCUAUGAUAAUGACACAAUGAUGGACAGCCCUCAUCCAUGCGAUGAAGGUAAUUAUGGAGAUAUUAGUGGUUUUAAUUGCGCUAGUCUUGAAGGGAAUUACACAUGUCGUGGUCCUUGGGACGGACCAAAUUCUGGAAUAACCAAUUUCGACAAUUUUGGCUUGUCUAUGUUAACAGUUUUCCAAUGUAUUACUCUUGAAGGAUGGACGGACGUUUUAUAUAGUAUUGAAGAUGCCUUAGGAAGUUCGUGGCAAUGGAUAUAUUUUGUUUCCAUGGUCAUUUUAGGAGCUUUUUUCGUAAUGAAUCUUAUUCUCGGUGUGUUAAGCGGAGAAUUUUCUAAAGAGAGAGAAAAGGCAAAAGCUAGAGGAGAUUUUCAAAAACUUCGUGAAAAGCAACAGCUUGAGGAAGACUUGAGAGGUUAUCUGGAUUGGAUAACGCAAGCAGAAGAUAUUGAACCUGACGCAGAUGAUAAAGAAUCUUCUAAUCAACAAGAUAAUAAUGCGAAUGAAAACAAAUCGACCAAUGUGGAACGGGAUGAAGUCGACUCUAGUAAAUCGUGGUGGAAAAAGAAGCGAAAAAACUUUGACAAGAUUAAUCGUAGGGCUAGACGGGCUUGUCGUAAAGCAGUAAAAUCACAAGCAUUUUAUUGGUUGAUUAUUAUUUUAGUAUUCCUUAACACUGGCGUUUUAGCAACGGAACAUUAUAAGCAACCAGCAUGGUUAGAUGAUUUUCAAGAAAUUACAAACGUCUUCUUCAUUACUCUUUUCACAUUAGAGAUGUUAUUAAAAAUGUAUAGUCUCGGAAUACAGGGAUAUUUUGUUUCGCUUUUUAAUCGUUUUGACUGUUUUGUUGUCAUCGGAAGUAUAACCGAAACGAUUUUAACGCGAACAGAAUUAAUGUUACCACUUGGAGUAUCAGUGUUACGUUGUGUACGACUACUCAGGGUCUUUAAAGUUACAAAGUACUGGAGGUCGCUUUCAAAUUUAGUAGCCUCGUUGCUCAAUUCGAUACAAUCCAUUGCUUCUUUGUUACUUCUACUGUUCCUUUUCAUCGUAAUAUUUGCAUUAUUAGGAAUGCAAGUAUUUGGUGGUAAAUUUAACUUUGAUGCCACCGAUUAUAAGCCACGUAGUAAUUUUGAUACGUUUUGGCAAAGUUUACUAACUGUGUUUCAAAUAUUGACUGGUGAGGAUUGGAAUGUCGUGAUGUACAAUGGAAUAAAAGCUUACAAUGGCGUAUCAUCGCCUGGUAUUUUAGCUUGCAUCUACUUCAUUAUAUUAUUUAUUUGCGGUAAUUACAUACUGCUAAAUGUUUUCUUGGCUAUCGCCGUAGAUAAUUUAGCCGACGCAGAGUCUUUAACCGCAAUAGAUAAAGAAGAUGAACAACCCGACAAACAACAAAAAUCUCGAAGUAAUAGUCAAUCGAAAGAAAGAGAUAACGAAUACCAAGGAGAAAAUUCUGAAGGUAUAUCUGUCGAGGAAGAACUUUCAGAUGAAAGUUCGUCAAGAAAAGACUACGAAAGCGACAGUAACAUCAAAAUCNAUUUAGAAGGAUUCGAUUUCGAACCAAAUGGAAAUCCAGAAAACGAAGAAAACGAAGAUGGUGUCCGUCCAAUGUCAGAGUUCAAUAAUGCAAAUAAAGGAAUGCCUAUUCCUCCAGCUUCUUCAUUUUUCAUAUUUUCACCGACCAGCAGGGUUCGAACGUUUUGUCAUUGGUUACAAAACCAUACAUACUUCAGUAAUUUUAUAUUAGUAUGCAUUAUGGUUUCUUCNGCGUUAUUAGCAGCAGAAGAUCCGUUAAAAGCAGAUUCAGAAAGAAAUAACGUUUUAAAAAAAUUCGACCAUUUCUUCACGGCAGUUUUCACUCUUGAAAUAAUUUUUAAAAUAAUCUCAUACGGAUUUGUUUUGCAUGAUGGAGCAUUCUGUCGAUCAUUCUUCAAUCUCUUGGAUCUUUUGGUCGUNACAGUNUCACUGUUGACAGUUAUCUCUAAAAUGGCAAGUACGCAAAAUUUUAGCGCGGGACCAAUGUCAUUAGUAAAAGUCUUGAGAGUCUUACGAGUACUCAGGCCUUUACGUGCUAUAAAUAGAGCAAAAGGACUGAAACAUGUAGUGCAGUGUGUCAUUGUUGCGGUCAAAACGAUCGGGAACAUAGUGCUGGUAACAUGUCUNCUUCAGUUCAUGUUCGCAGUAAUCGGAGUUCAAUUAUUUAAGGGGAAAUUUUUUUCGUGCAAUGAUCUAUCCAAAACUACAGAAUUUGAAUGCCAAGGCUUGUACCUAACGUUCGAUCAUGGAGAUGUCGAUACUCCUAAAAAGGAAGACAGGAAAUGGGAACGUAACACGUUUCAUUUUGAUGACGUAGCCAAAGCAAUGCUUACCCUCUUCACCGUAUCUACAUUUGAAGGAUGGCCUUCACUGUUGCAAAAGUCAAUAGAUUCCAAUGAGGAAGAAAAGGGCCCGAUACACAACUAUAGACCAAUCGUCGCCGCAUAUUAUAUCAUAUAUAUAAUCAUAAUAGCGUUUUUUAUGGUGAAUAUAUUUGUUGGUUUCGUCAUAGUAACGUUUCAAAAUGAAGGAGAACAGGAAUACAAGAAUUGCGAACUUGAUAAAAACCAAAGAAACUGUAUAGCAUUUGCACUGAAAGCCAAACCAGUCCGUCGCUACAUACCCAAGCACCGAUGUCAAUACAAAGUGUGGUGGUUUGUAACGUCACAACCAUUUGAAUAUACCAUAUUUGUGUUAAUCAUGGUAAACACCAUUACACUUGCAAUGAAAUUCUACAGACAACCACAAUAUUAUGACAGCAUUUUGGACAUGUUAAAUUUAUUUUUCACUGCAGUAUUCGCAUUGGAAUUCGUAUUCAAACUAGCGGCUUUUCGUUUUAAGAAUUAUUUUGGUGAUGCGUGGAAUGUAUUUGAUUUCAUAAUUGUACUGGGAAGUUUCAUAGAUAUCGUUGUAGAAAAUUUGUCGCCUCCUAAUAUUACUAAUGCUCCGAAGAAAAAAGAAAGAAAAUUGUCGAUUAACUUUUUUCGACUAUUUCGCGUUAUGCGUCUUGUUAAGUUAUUAAGUCGUGGCGAUGGAAUUAGAACAUUGUUGUGGACUUUCAUAAAAUCAUUUCAAGCUCUACCAUAUGUCGCACUUUUGAUUGUAAUGCUGUUCUUCAUUUACGCAGUCAUUGGGAUGCAGAUUUUCGGUAGAAUAGCAAAAGACACUGAAGAUUCUGCAAUCCAUAGAAACAAUCACUUCCAAACAUUUCCUCAAGCAGUUCUGAUUCUUUUCCGAUCUGCUACCGGUGAAGCUUGGCAAGAUAUUAUGAUGUCAUGUGCUUACCGACCGAACGAAGUUUUCUGCGAUGCCGGGGCUGAUAAAACUGAUGAUAAUUGCUGUGGCUCUGACUUUGCUUUUCCAUAUUUCAUUUCAUUUUAUGUGCUGUGCUCAUUUCUGAUCAUCAAUUUGUUUGUCGCAGUUAUAAUGGAUAACUUUGAUUAUUUAACAAGAGAUUGGUCUAUACUUGGACCCCAUCAUUUAGACGAAUUUAUUAGGUUGUGGAGUGAAUAUGACCCUGAUGCCAAGGGUAGAAUAAAGCAUCUGGACGUGGUAACUCUGCUGAGAAAGAUUUCGCCUCCUUUAGGAUUUGGUAAACUAUGUCCACAUCGGGUCGCGUGUAAGAGACUGGUUUCAAUGAACAUGCCCUUAAACAGUGAUGGGACAGUGUUGUUUAAUGCAACAUUGUUUGCUGUUGUCAGAACAUCAUUACAUAUUAAAUCUGAAGGAAACAUUGAUGAUGCUAACGCAGAAUUAAGAGCUGUCAUCAAAAAAAUUUGGAAACGAACCAGUCCAAAACUCUUAGACCAAGUCGUGCCACCUCCAGGAGUUGAUGACGAAGUCACUGUGGGUAAAUUCUACGCGACAUUCUUGAUCCAAGAUUAUUUCCGACGAUUUAAAAAACGAAAAGAACAAGAACUCAAAGAAGGCGAUAAAGAAGCUCGUAAUACUGUUACUCUUCAGGCUGGUUUACGAACUUUGCAUGANGCUGGUCCUGAAAUUAAACGGGCUAUAUCUGGGAACCUUGAUGAACUAAUCGACGAUAAUCCUGAACCAUCGCAUAGGAGAAACCAUACGCUCUUUGGCAGCGUUUGGUCAUCGAUGAGACGUAGGACGGGCAGUUUGAGACGGUCAUUUAGAGUAAGCAAUACUCAUUCGAAAAAGAAGCAUAAAAAUUACUUACAAGUAUCAGGAAGAAAUGUGACAAAGCUAUCUCCGUCGAGUUCAAUCGAAGUAGAUUAUUUACCGGGCAACUAUGCAAAACAGCAGCGAGAUACCAAAAUUCAAAAUGGAUCUGUUUCACUUCAUAGCCAAAACAAAUAAUGAGUAUGAUGUACAAAUGACGCAAGAUUAUAUAUGUAUGUAUAUUUCAGACGUUUACCCGUUCAAAUGCAUAAUUUUAAUGAUAGUAAAGGAGAAAUGAACGGAUCCACGCCCCUAACCCGGUUAUCACAUUCUGUACCUGGAAGUCCC
rnacentral:misc_RNA from 1 species